UACGUAGGGUGCAAGCGUUGUCCGGAAUUAUUGGGCGUAAAGAGCUCGUAGGCGGUUUGUCGCGUCGGCUGUGAAAACUCGGGGCUCAACCCCGAGCCUGCAGUCGAUACGGGCAAACUCGAGUGCGGUAGGGGAGACUGGAAUUCCUGGUGUAGCGGUGAAAUGCGCAGAUAUCAGGAGGAACACCGGUGGCGAAGGCGGGUCUCUAGUACGGUACUGACGCUGAGACGCGAAAGCGUGGGGAGCGAACAGG
rnacentral:rRNA from 1 species